rnacentral:rRNA from 1 species
AGAGUUUGAUCAUGGCUCAGAAUCAACGCUGGCGGCGCGCCUAACACAUGCAAGUCGAACGAGAAAGGGGGGCAAUCCCUGAGUACAGUGGCGUACGGGUGAGUAACACGUGGAUGAUCUACCCCUUAGUUUGGAAUAACCAUGGGAAACCGUGGCUAAUACCGGAUAAGCUCGAGAGAGGAAAGCAGCAAUGCGCUGAGGGAGGAGUCCGCGGCCGAUUAGCUAGUUGGUAGGGUAAGAGCCUACCAAGGCAAAGAUCGGUAGCCGGCCUGAGAGGGCACACGGCCACACUGGCACUGAAACACGGGCCAGACUCCUACGGGAGGCAGCAGUGGGGAAUCUUGCACAAUGGGGGAAACCCUGAUGCAGCGACGCCGCGUGAGCGAUGAAGCCCUUCGGGGUGUAAAGCUCUUUCGGCAGGGAAGAUGGUGACGGUACCUGCAGAAGCAGCUGCGGCUAACUACGUGCCAGCAGCCGCGGUAAUACGUAGGCAGCAAGCGUUGUUCGGAGUUACUGGGCGUAAAGGGUGUGUAGGCGGUUUUUUAAGUUUGGUGUGAAAUCUCCCGGCUCAACUGGGAGGGUGCGCCGAAUACUGAAAGACUAGAGUGCGGGAGAGGAAAGUGGAAUUCCUGGUGUAGCGGUGAAAUGCGUAGAUAUCAGGAGGAACACCGGUGGUGUAGACGGCUUUCUGGACCGUAACUGACGCUGAGACACGAAAGCGUGGGUAGCAAACAGGAUUAGAUACCCUAGUAGUCC